rnacentral:rRNA from 1 species
AUUGAACGCUGGCGGCAGGCCUAACACAUGCAAGUCGAACGGUAGCACAGAGAGCUUGCUCUCGGGUGACGAGUGGCGGACGGGUGAGUAAUGUCUGGGAAACUGCCCGAUGGAGGGGGAUAACUACUGGAAACGGUAGCUAAUACCGCAUGACGUCGCAAGACCAAAGUGGGGGACCUUCGGGCCUCACACCAUCGGAUGUGCCCAGAUGGGAUUAGCUAGUAGGUGGGGUAAUGGCUCACCUAGGCGACGAUCCCUAGCUGGUCUGAGAGGAUGACCAGCCACACUGGAACGGAGACACGGUCCAGACUCCUACGGGAGGCAGCAGUGGGGAGUAUUGCACAAUGGGCGCAAGCCUGAUGCAGCCAUGCCGCGUGUAUGAAGAAGGCCUUCGGGUUGUAAAGUACUUUCAGCGGGGAGGAAGGCGGUGAAGUUAAUAACUUCACCGAUUGACGUUACCCGCAGAAGAAGCACCGGCUAACUCCGUGCCAGCCGCCGCCGUAA